rfam:Clostridium sp. CAG:127 genomic scaffold, scf83
UUUAAUUAGUGUCCAUGGGACGAAGUCCCAUAUUAGGAUGACGCUGACAAUCUGCCGCCGAACGGAUGUGAGGGGCGAUACAUUAG